AACGAACGCUGGCGGCAUGCCUAACACAUGCAAGUCGAACGAGACCUUCGGGUCUAGUGGCGCACGGGUGCGUAACGCGUGGGAACCUGCCCUUAGGUUCGGAAUAACUCCCCGAAAGGGGUGCUAAUACCGGAUAAUGUCUUCGGACCAAAGAUUUAUCGCCUUUGGAUGGGCCCGCGUUGGAUUAGCUAGUUGGUAGGUAAAAAGCCUACCAAGGCGACGAUCCAUAGCUGGUCUGAGAGGAUGAUCAGCCACACUGGGACUGAGACACGGCCCAGACUCCUACGGGAGGCAGCAGUGGGGAAUAUUGGACAAUGGGCGAAAGCCUGAUCCAGCAAUGCCGCGUGAGUGAUGAAGGCCUUAGGGUUGUAAAGCUCUUUUACCCGGGAUGAUAAUGACAGUACCGGGAGAAUAAGCUCCGGCUAACUCCGUG
rnacentral:rRNA from 1 species